rnacentral:rRNA from 1 species
UACGGGGGGUGCGAGCGUUGUCCGGAAUCACUGGGCGUAAAGGGCGCGUAGGCGGCCGAUCAAGUCGGGGGUGAAAGCCUGUGGCUCAACCACAGAAUUGCCUUCGAUACUGUUUGGCUUGAGACCGGAAGAGGUAAGUGGAACUGCGAGUGUAGAGGUGAAAUUCGUAGAUAUUCGCAAGAACACCAGUGGCGAAGGCGGCUUACUGGUCCGGUUCUGACGCUGAGGCGCGAAAGCGUGGGGAGCAAACGGG